rnacentral:lncRNA from 1 species
UUCUCUCCCCUCUCUCUACCGCCGAAGCUCUCACCUCCACUGUUUCCAAACCUUCUCCCAAAACCUUAGCCACCGCCGACCUUGAAAAAAAAAACCGCUUUCCUCACUAGCCGAAACUUAAUGAUGCUUCUCUCCCCAAAAGCUUUAAAACUCAAGGCGCUGCUUCCCAUUUGUUUUUUAAGUUUUUGGUUUUUUUUUUUUUUGUGAUUGUGGUAUUGUGCCGGUUGAUAGAUCUAGGUUUUUAAAUUUUUUCUCCUGUUUUCGUUGAGAUCCGGCCUCCCCUUUUGUAUUGAAAAAUUUCUCUUUUUAUUUGUGCAAGGGAUUUGUAAAUCCCUCUGCCAACCGUUGGCUGAUUUCCAGGUCCAGAAUGUUCUUUAGAUGAUUUGGUUUUAAUUCUUGAUUAUUAAAUUUGAACCUGAUUAAUUUGUUUGAUCUAUUCUGGAUCACUCCUUUGUCGGAGUGGAGCACUCCUUUUUGUUCUUUUCUAAUAAGUUGGUUCGUGUUCUGAGCGAGACUCCGCGUGACGUAAACGGUACCUAUGAAGUGUGAUCUGUCUGUAAGGGGGUUGCGUUCCGAGGGACUAAAAAUCUCCACUGGUAUUGUCACGCUUGGACAUACUCAACACUGAUCCAAUUAACACUUAAUGAAAUAAGAAUAAAUAAGUAAACAAAAGAUGAAAGAUAAAAUAAUAAUAAAAAUAAAAUAAAAUAAAUAAGAAAAUGAAAACUCAUAUAAACCUAAAUAUUAAGAUACCAAUAAUAUUAAAAUUUAAUAAUAUCUUAAAUUACUAAAAUAUGAACACAAUUACAUGGACAAAUAAAUUAA